GACGAACGCCGGCGGCGUGCUUAACACAUGCAAGUCGAACGGAAAGGCCCUGCUUUUGUGGGGUGCUCGAGUGGCGAACGGGUGAGUAACACGUGAGUAACCUGCCCUUGACUUUGGGAUAACUUCAGGAAACUGGGGCUAAUACCGGAUAGGAGCUCCUGCUGCAUGGUGGGGGUUGGAAAGUUUCGGCGGUUGGGGAUGGACUCGCGGCUUAUCAGCUUGUUGGUGGGGUAGUGGCUUACCAAGGCUUUGACGGGUAGCCGGCCUGAGAGGGUGACCGGCCACAUUGGGACUGAGAUACGGCCCAGGCUCCUACGGGAGGCAGCAGUGGGGAAUAUUGCACAAUGGGCGGAAGCCUGAUGCAGCAACGCCGCGUGCGGGAUGACGGCCUUCGGGUUGUAAACCGCUUUCGCCUGUGACGAAGCGUGAGUGACGGUAAUGGGUAAAGAAGCACCGGCUAACUACGUGCCAGCAGCCGCGGUGAUACGUAGGGUGCGAGCGUUGUCCGGAUUUAUUGGGCGUAAAGGGCUCGUAGGUGGUUGAUCGCGUCGGAAGUGUAAUCUUGGGGCUUAACCCUGAGCGUGCUUUCGAUACGGGUUGACUUGAGGAAGGUAGGGGAGAAUGGAAUUCCUGGUGGAGCGGUGGAAUGCGCAGAUAUCAGGAGGAACACCAGUGGCGAAGGCGGUUCUCUGGGCCUUUCCUGACGCUGAGGAGCGAAAGCGUGGGGAGCGAACAGGCUUAGAUACCCUGGUAGUCCACGCUGUAAACGGUGGGUACUAGGUGUGGGGUCCAUUCCACGGGUUCCGUGCCGUAGCUAACGCUUUAAGUACCCCGCCUGGGGAGUACGGCCGCAAGGCUAAAACUCAAAGGAAUUGACGGGGCCCCGCACAAGCGGCGGAGCAUGCGGAUUAAUUCGAUGCAACGCGUAGAACCUUACCUGGGUUUGACAUGGAUCGGGAGUGCUCAGAGAUGGGUGUGCCUCUUUUGGGGUCGGUUCACAGGUGGUGCAUGGCUGUCGUCAGCUCGUGACGUGAGAUGUUGGGUUAAGUCCCGCAACGAGCGCAACCCUUGUUCACUGUUGCCAGCACGUUAUGGUGGGGACUCAGUGGAGACCGCCGGGGUCAACUCGGAGGAAGGUGGGGAUGACGUCAAGUCAUCAUGCCCCUUAUGUCCAGGGCUUCACGCAUGCUACAAUGGCUGGUACAGAGAGUGGCGAGCCUGUGAGGGUGAGCGAAUCUCGGAAAGCCGGUCUCAGUUCGGAUCGGGGUCUGCAACUCGACCUCAUGAAGUCGGAGUCGCUAGUAAUCGCAGAUCAGCAACGCUGCGGUGAAUACGUUCCCGGGGCU
rnacentral:rRNA from 1 species